rnacentral:rRNA from 1 species
UACGGGGGGGGCAAGCGUUGUUCGGAAUUACUGGGCGUAAAGGGCUCGUAGGUGGCCAACUAAGUCAGACGUGAAAUCCCUCGGCUUAACCGGGGAACUGCGUCUGAUACUGGAUGGCUUGAGUUCGGGAGAGGGAUGCGGAAUUCCAGGUGUAGCGGUGAAAUGCGUAGAUAUCUGGAGGAACACCGGUGGCGAAGGCGGCACCCUGGACCGACACUGACGCUGAGGAGCGAAAGCCAGGGGAGCAAACGGG